rnacentral:rRNA from 1 species
UGGGGAAUUUUGGACAAUGGGGGAAACCCUGAUCCAGCCAUCCCGCGUGUGCGAUGAAGGCCUUCGGGUUGUAAAGCACUUUUGGCAGGAAAGAAACGUCAUGGGUUAAUACCCCGUGAAACUGACGGUACCUGCAGAAUAAGCACCGGCUAACUACGUGCCAGCAGCCGCGGUAAUACGUAGGGUGCAAGCGUUAAUCGGAAUUACUGGGCGUAAAGCGUGCGCAGGCGGUUCGGAAAGAAAGAUGUGAAAUCCCAGAGCUCAACUUUGGAACUGCAUUUUUAACUACCGGGCUAGAGUGUGUCAGAGGGAGGUGGAAUUCCGCGUGUAGCAGUGAAAUGCGUAGAUAUGCGGAGGAACACCGAUGGAGAAGGCAGCCUCCAGGGAUAACACUGACGCUCAUGCACGAAAGCGUGGGGAGCAAACAGG